rnacentral:rRNA from 1 species
UACGUAGGGUGCGAGCGUUAGUCGGAAUUACUGGGCGUAAAGCGUACGCAGGCGGCUCUGUAAGACAGAUGUGAAAUCCCCGGGCUUAACCUGGGAACUGCAUUUGUGACUGCAGGGCUAGAGUCUGUCAGAGGGGGUGGAAUUCCACGUGUAGCAGUGAAAUGCGUAGAGAUGUGGAGGAACACCGAUGGCGAAGGCAGCCCCCUGGGAUGAGACUGACGCUCAUGUACGAAAGCGUGGGGAGCAAACAGG